rnacentral:rRNA from 1 species
UACAGAGGUCCCAAGCGUUGUUCGGAUUCAUUGGGCGUAAAGGGUGCGUAGGCGGCGCGGUAAGUCGGGUGUGAAAUCUCGGAGCUUAACUCCGAAACUGCAUUCGAUACUGCCGUGCUUGAGGACUGGAGAGGAGACUGGAAUUUACGGUGUAGCGGUGAAAUGCGUAGAUAUCGUAAGGAAGACCAGUGGCGAAGGCGGCGUUCUGGACUGCAACUGACACUGAGGAACGAAAGCCAGGGGAGCAAACGGG